UACAAUCCCCUUCCCUUUCAUGAAUGUGACCUACCGAAUUAGACUAUUUACCGGAUUUGUAAUCACAUAAGCAACACGACGGGUGCCACAUGUGGAGCAGGAUCUGCUCACCCUUCCGGAGCACCUGAGAUCACCCCUAGUUUUUGAUGGGGUUCGUGUUGUGUAUUCUUUAGUUUUCUAUGUUGUGUCAUGUGUACUAUUGUUUUUCUGUUUGUCUUUUUC
rnacentral:lncRNA from 1 species